GAGAUGGCAUAUUUCAAAUUGAGACUAUUCGAUCCAGGGGCUGGUCAUCAAGAUGGAGCAGGGUAUAGAGAAGCCAUUAGGGAUGAUACAGAACACCACCAAAGGAGCUCCUUCUGGGAUUCUCUAUUGGCUGAACUCAGCCAGAAGCUGCCAAGGGAGACCCCCACAACUGGAUGCAGCCCACUGAAGUCAGCUUCCUGGGGUGCGUAGCUGAAGGUAGCAGGGAGCAAAAAGAAUCUGAAGGGGAAGUGAACAAUGUAGAGCGUAUCUGUGCUGAAGACGUAAGGAGAGAGUGGAGGUCAGAAGCUGGCAUGGUCCCUGGUGCAUGUAUCAGCCGCUAAAGCUGGAGUGGAUGAAUCAGAACUUUCCCCAUGGGAGCAUUUAUAAAAAGGGGACACCCAGCGCAGAAGAUGUUUUCCAGGGAGAUCUCGGGGAGCCCAACAAGCCAAGAAGAGCAGAGCAAAGCAUUCCAAGGAAGGACUCUAAGUCUGCAACCGAGCACACACGAGAAAUCCCUAACCGUGCGGGGUAAGCCUGGAUGGCAAGGAGCUUAGAACACAACUCAGUGGUCAUGAGCCUGACGUCAUUCAUCACUUUGCAUACCUUCAAGUUCUUCCAACCUCCUCUCUCCUUCAAAAAUCUUACUUAGGGCUCUGCCUCUUCCAAGAAGCAGUAGCAAGUCCCCCAGCUGAUGAGCAGAAUAAAAAUUUUUACAAAUGUGCAUACCAAUGGAGUUAUUUUAGAAUAUGCCCAGGCCUGCAGAGGAUGACUGCAAAAGCCCCUACUAUUGGUAGAGCAGUGAGAAAAUUGGUUUCACUGUCAUGCCUUGUGUAUUAGUUAUCUAUUGACUUAUGCUAAUUGACUGAUGCUACAUUUUUUAAAAAAACCACAAAACCUCAGCAGCAUACAGCAAUAAGUUUGCAUUGCUUGUGCAUUUAGGGUGCUCAGCCAGGUGGUUCUGCUGAUCUUGCUGGGGAUUACUCAUGCCCAGGGCUUGGCUGGCUGUUGGCUGAUUGAGACUGGCCUCAGUGGGAAUGAUUCUGGCAUCUCAGUUUGCUCCAUGUAUCUCUCAUCCUCCAGGGUAGCCUACGCAUGUACGUCUUGCAGUGAUGGCAAGGAGCAGGAGAAAGAAAGCCCAUCCAAACAAGCAUAUUGGAAGCCUAUGUAUCCCAUAAGCUGACAUCUUGUUGCCCAAAGCAUGUCAUGUGCGUGGUCCAGAGUCAGUGUUGAAGGGCUCUGCAAAAUCACAUGGUAAAGACUGUGGUUUCAGGGAGGAGUGAAGAUUUGUGCGCAUUGCUCCAAUUGACAACCAUGGCACUAGGCUCAGGCCACACUUCUUCCUAACAAGAGAGCAAGUCAAAGCGUGGUUAGUUAAAGUCCAUACAAAAACUCACUUUAACAGGCCUCCUCUGGAUUGAACAGCUGAUAUUAAGUCAUAAGGUACCACAUCAGAAAGAUACUGGGUAUCUUUGGUUCAGCAAUUCCAUCACCAGGGACUUUUUCAUCCUAAGGAAAUCACUGCACGGUGGACAAAGAUAUAUGCAUAAGGAUGCUCCUUCUGGCCAAAGACCAAAAACAUAACUGGCCAUCAGUAAAAGCCAACACAAGGAAAGACCAUGUGAAUACACAGCAAGAACGUGGUGCUCUGCAAGUCAGAAACAGACCCGUCAUCAGACACCAAAUCAGCCAGCACCUUGAUCUAGGAUUUCUGGCCUCCAAAACAGUGAGAAAAUAAAAUUCUGUUGUUUAAGCCAUGCAGCCUGUUGUAUUUCAUUAUGGCAGCCUGAGCAGAAUAAGACAGGUAUAUACAAAUGCAAAUUCUAUUAAGAAAUCUGUAUCUUUU
rnacentral:lncRNA from 1 species